rnacentral:rRNA from 1 species
UACGUAGGGACCAAGCGUUGUCCGGAAUUAUUGGGCGUAAAGAGCUCGUAGGCGGUGUGUCGCGUCGGCCGUGAAAACCUGCAGCUUAACUGUGGGCUUGCGGUCGAUACGGGCAUCACUGGAGUUCGGCAGGGGCAACUGGAAUUCUCGGUGUAGCGGUGAAAUGCGUAGAUAUCGAGAGGAACACCUGCGGCGAAGGCGGGUUGCUGGGCUGAUACUGACGCUGAGGCGCGAAAGCCAGGGGAGCGAACGGG